CCUAGGACGAUGUGCUGUGUCAUCGCAUCUUGGAGUAUUACUAUUCUGGGUCAGCGUGGCUCGAGCAUAUGUCAAAAGAACUAGGGCAGACAUAUUAGAUCAGAUAAUACACGGCCAUGGUCAAUACAAUACAUGUAUUUUAGCUGAUCCGGUAGUCGGUGUCUGUUUACUUUCGUCCAUUGUGGAAAGUCAUUUCGACUGAGCUGCGCAUGGUCACUGUCGAACAGCGGACAACACUAUUUAACAAGUGGCGCGAAAUCGAAUCGUAUGCGUGAAUACGAUAAUGUCGUCUGCUACUGAUGCACUUCGGCCUGGUCUGGUGUUUGCUACGUUAGCGGGGGCGGCAGUUGUGAAGUAUUCAUUAGCAGCUUUCGUACGAUGGAGACAUUCACAGAAGUUCAAGCUUGUCGGACAGGUGACAUCUCUGACAAUGUUCCCAGUGAAAUCCUGUUCGGGAUACAGCGUCCAGAGUGCGGAAUGUACUCGCUUAGGACUGCGGCAGUCGGAAGUGACUGACAGACAUUUUCUGGUAAUUAAGCCCAACGGCGAGUUUCUGCAUCAGCGAGUACAGCCGAGGAUGGCCCUAAUUAAAGUAUCACCAUGCGGAGACCAGCUAGAAAUCAAUGCUCCAGGAAUGCCGCCGAUUAAGGUGUCGAAAGACCAGCUAAUCGAUAAGUCAAAAGUGAAACCAUGCAGGGUGUGGGCUGCGAAUCUGGAGGGCUUGGACUGUGGUGAUGAGGUCGCCGAAUGGUUCAGUACAUUCCUCAAUAUGUCCGGACUCCGCCUGUUGUACUCCGCACCGGGCUUGACAAAAAAAGACAUGACUGAAGUUACAUACAAACCGUGGGGCAAUCCUUCUGUAACUGGGGAUAUGGCGGCAUACAGUGAUUUCGGAGGUUAUCUCAUCGUGUCUGAGAACUCGGUCCACGAUCUUAACAGACGACUGAGCAGUCCCGUCACCUUCCGUAACUUCAGGCCAAACAUCGUGGUGCGAACAGACGCAGCAUUUCAGGAGGACACGUGGCUGGAGAUUAAAGUCGGCGAUACGGUCAGGAUGAGGAUGCUGGACUACUGCACAAGGUGUACCAUGACGACGGUUGAUCCGGAGCUGGGUGUGAAGUCGAGUGAUGGAGAGCCCCUGAAGACCCUCAAAAGCUUCCGUUGCUUCGCUCCGUACGGCACAUUCCCGUGUUUUGGCGUGAACGCCACAGUUGAUGUGACAGGACCUGUUCGAAUUGGUGAUCCGGUGUAUGCCAUACAGAGACCAGUUUUCACAGAGUUGCAGGACGCGUGAAAGAUGCACUGGGUUGUGACUGACGCAAAGUUUAACGUUUUGUCUCAACAACAAGCACCAAAAUUGGCUAUUGUGAAAGUGGAAUGUCAAGGCUACGAACUAGUUAUCAACGCAACGGGUAUGCCGACUCUGAAACUACCGACUGAUUGUCCAGUAGACCAGUCUAAAAUUGUAAUAUGCAAUACUGGCAAGAACACGCUGGAGGGUUUGGACUGUGGUGAUGAGGCGGGCGCGUGGUUCAGCGCCUAUCUACACAGGGAAGGACUCCGCGUGUUACACUCAGCUCCGGGACUCAGGAAAAAGAGACAUAUCCACCGAACGCCGGACGUGGCCCAACACAGCGGUACCCGGCGAUAUAGCUGCGUUCAGUGAUUUCUGUGCAUACCACGUGCUUCCGGAAAGUUCGUUCGCACGACUCGACGAGAGACUGGAUGAACCGACAACUAUCGAGUGUUUCCGACCUACAAUCACUGUUCGUGGAACUGACGCCUUUGACGAGGUGUAGUACUGUACACAUCCGUUUUCACAAACACGUCUGCAACAUGGGACCGGGUAUGGUGACGUACAGAGGCAGAUCCAUGGGGACGAAUGGUCUGAAAUUCGUUUUGGUGAAACAACCAAACUGAGGUGCCUCUAUCCUACACCUAGAUGUACGAAGGUGACCGUUGACCAAGUCACUGGCGUUAAAAACCAAUCAGGAGAACCUCUGACCACACUGAGAAGCUUUCGUUGUUUCCCGCCAUACGGCCAGUCACCGCUGUUAGGAGUAAGCGCAGCAAUACACACGCCUGGGAGAAUUAAUGUCGGAGAUCCAGUCUACGUAAAAAGGAAGUGAUGCAAAAAUCAACUAAUUGACCUCCUUACUCACCUAGAAUUUUUUUUAUCCUUCGAAACAAACAAAACAAGUGGAAUUAAAUUCAGUUCAAUAAAAUAUUUUUUUUAAAAA